UUAAAACACCGGUCCCUGUACGAUCACCGAAGUUAAGCAACGUCAAGCCUGGUUAGUACCUAGAUGAGUGACCGGAAUAGCACGUGCUGUAAG